UAAUACGUAUGGGGCAAGCGUUGUUCGGAUUCACUGGGCGUAAAGGGCGUGUAGGUGGUAAGGCAAGUCGGAUGUGAAAUUUCUGGGCUCAACCCGGAAACUGCAUUCGAAACUGCUUUGCUAGAGUACCGGAGAGGGAGACGGAAUUCCUGGUGUAGGGGUGAAAUCUGUAGGUAUCAGGAAGAACACCGGUGGCGAAGGCGGUCUCCUGGCCGGAUACUGACACUGAGGCGCGAAAGCUAGGGGAGCGAACAGGAUUAGAUACCCUGGUAGUCCUAGCUGUAAACGUUGUGCACUAGGCGUAAGUGGGUUUUAUUCCACCUGUGCCGCAGCUAACGCAUUAAGUGCACCGCCUGGGGAGUAUGCUCGCAAGGGUG
rnacentral:rRNA from 1 species